GAACCGUUCUUGGCGAACAGUUCGGGACAUCACUACUUACUAUUUUUUCCAAUUUGGCUACUAUGACCUAAAACGUUAAAUUUACUUUGAAUUCACAUUAAAUUCCCAACAAUUUAUGCUUUAGUAAAUUAUCCGGUAAGAGUCCUUUAAGUUGUUCCCCUUGGUUGGAGAAGAUUUUUUCUAUUUUUAGGGCAAAACUGGAAAGAGAUGUAACACAUAUAGGACCUUGAUUGAAUCUGGUGGCCCUUUUUUCUUUUUUUUUUCUCUUUACCAAGCAAACAUCUUGAAGCAUUCAUGAAGGAGAUGCAAUAAGUAUUAACCAUUCUCAAUACUUUAGUUUUUUUUUUAUUUACUUGUUUUUAGAAUUUAAUUGUAGCAUUUAUUUCUUUAUUUCCUUUUUCUACUUACUACAAUCUGUCUUUUUUAUUUUUCAUUCAUUGUGCGAACAAUAGAUCCUUUUUGCAUACAUAAUAAUCUAUGGUUGGGGAAAAAAGACUCAAGUUCGUAAAGUUCAACAUUUUAAAAACAUCAUGUUAUGCUGUUGAUCCAAAUAAGGAAAAUAAAACAAUCCAACACAAAAAAAACCGCAAGAAAACCCAAAAAGCAUAUGUUAAGCAAUGGACAAUUAUCCUACAAAAAUAAAAACAAUAUCUUGUUGACUCUAUUAUGACAAUCAGAUUUCUUGUUUAUUGUUCUUGUAUGAACAAUAAACAACAUCUUUAAACAUUUAAAAAAAACAAAAAAAAUUUAGCCUCCUUUUUUUUUUUUUAAUAUGCGGGCUGGGUGGUUCGCAUACACAAACUAAUGGGAGGCAGAGCUGGGAGAGGUGCAAGAGAGCAAGAUAUUUGGGAGGCCACCAGCAAGGUGUCCAUUAGUGUGGGACGUGAAGAACAGGCAUUGAAGACAAUGAUAUAUAUACUACCCUGACCAAAUGUACAAAAUGGGCAAGGGUUCGUCUGUAUUGGAGGGGUUGUGGUGAGAAGGGUACCUAGGCCUACAUGUGGUGGGAUUGUUUGAAAUUACAGCCACUCUGGCACGGGGGGUUAAAGAUCUUCUGACAAGGGUGUUGGAGAGGCCAAUUGAGCUCGUGUUCAUGGGCUUUUUUUCUAGCCAGACCGGUAAACGGCAUGAUGGCCACAACCCAGAAACUCAUGAAUUGGAUCACACUGGUAGCCAGACAGAGGGCAGUGAUAAAAUGAUUAGGCACAGUCACACCUAGUAUGCCAGAGGUGCACAGAGGAUUAAAGAGAAUUAUCUAAUGGACAAACUCACUGUGAUAUUGCACAACUGCACACUAUCCUUAGGUAUGUGAUCCUUGGAACAACAUAGGGGACUAGGAGGAGAAUAAUUAUGGAGGGUUGAUGACUGUCUUGGGGCGGACCAUUGGCACCUGGCUGGAACGAGGGUUCCUUGGUAGUUGUAUUAUUGGCAAUGGCAAUUGAAGUGAACAAACUAGAGCAACUGAUGCUGUUAAAACAUUUGUAUGUGUUCUUCUAUACAUUUCUUUAGUUAGUUUUUAAGAAAAAACUAAAUAGGCACAAAGUCACUACAAACUGUAAAUAGGAAAUCUGUUUAUGCUUUUGUACACUUUUGUAUGGCAAAUAACAUUGUACUUAAGUGUUUUUCCU
rnacentral:lncRNA from 1 species